AUUGAUUUUUGACGGCUAGCCUAGAAAGCUGACAAAAUACCUUCCUGACUGCCCAAUUCAAACUGUUCAUUUUAAAAUUUGGGAAAUAGGGAAAGUUGAAGAACUCAAGGGUCUCCACUGACUGUGGAGGAGUGAGUGGUCAAGAACACGGGCUUCAAACUUCAGCUUUGUGAUGUUGGGCAAGUUUCUUAGCCUCUCCGAGCCUUAGUAUUCUCAGCUAUGCAGAGAGAGGGUAAGCCUCAUGUUGUGGGCUUGCUGUGAGUAUCUCAUGAAUAUUACAUGGAAAAUGCUUAACAUAGUUUCUCACAAGUAAUAAGCAGUCAAUACUUGGGAACUAUUGUCAUUAUGAUAACCAUGGUAACAGUUUCAGACUCUUAUUUAUAAUGUUACUUCUAUUAAAAAUACUUUGCAGAUUCCAACCAACAAUCUUGCAAGUAAAAUUUGGAUCCAUUCCCUUAUCAAGCUGUGGACUGCUUCUUCCCCCAGAAUGGAGUAGAGACUUGCCUUACAUCACAGGAGAAUUCACAGUGUCAGCAGGAAGUGAAACAAACAUACCCGACUUUCUUGUCUGUGCCUUACGAUUGUGUCAGGCAGCUGAACACAGUCAUUUUGGUGUGAAACCAGCAGAAGCUUCAUUUCCAAAAUCACCUUUUCUGAAUGACAACUCAAUCAAUUCAAUAACAUGCAAUUUUACGCAGUGGGAACCUAUCCCUGUGUCCC
rnacentral:lncRNA from 1 species